GAGAGAGAGUGAUAGCAUGAUAGAAAGCGAGAGAAUCGGAGUGUUAAAGAGAGAGAGAGACAUCGAGAGGGGCAGCCUGCCAGUGAAUGGUAACACAGGAUCAACCCUCAGCCAACGGUAACUGCACUUGGACACAUACACUGCUUAUACAUACAUGCAACCAUGCUGGAAUGAACGGACUGAAUUCUGAAUUCUGGUCAUCUAACUAAAAGCAUCAGCAGAAGAUAACCGGAUCAUAAUGGAGGAAGAAACCCUGCUGCGAGAGAGACUACAGGCUAUAACAGACAAAAGAAGAAUUCGAGAGGAGAUAGAAAAGAAACGAAGAAACAUUGAAGAAGAGAAAUUAAAACUACAAUAUCUAAAGGAUUUACACAAGCUUCAGUCUGGAU